rnacentral:rRNA from 1 species
GACGAACGCUGGCGGCGUGCUUAACACAUGCAAGUCGAACGGAAGGGCGCUGCUUUUGUGUGGUGCUCGAGUGGCGAACGGGUGAGUAACACGUGAGUAACCUGCCCUUGACUUUGGGAUAACUUCUGGAAACUGGUGCUAAUACCGGAUAGGCGCUCCUGCUGCAUGGUGAGGGUUGGAAAGUUUCGGCGGUUGGGGAUGGACUCGCGGCUUCUCAGCUUGUUGGUGGGGUAGUGGCUGACCAAGGCUUUGACGGGUAGCCGGCCUGCGAGGGUGGCCGGCCACAUCGGGACUGAGAUACGGCACAGACUAGUACGGGACGCAGCAGAGGAGAAGAGUGCACAAUGGGCGGGAGCAUGAUGCAGCAACGCCGCGUGCGGGAGGACGGCCAGGGGGUUGUAUACCGAAUUCGCCUGGGACGAAGCGAGAGUGACGGUAAUGGGUAAAGAAGCAACGGCUAACUACGUG